rnacentral:rRNA from 1 species
UACGUAGGGUGCGAGCGUUGCCCGGAUUUACUGGGCGUAAAGGGCGCGUAGGCGGCACCGCAAGUCGACUGUGAAAUCUCCGGGCUUAACUCGGAAAGGUCAGCUGAUACUGCGGGGCUAGAGUGCAGAAGGGGCAACUGGAAUUCUCGGUGUAGCGGUGAAAUGCGUAGAUAUCGAGAGGAACACCUGCGGCGAAGGCGGGUUGCUGGGCUGACACUGACGCUGAUGCGCGAAAGCUAGGGGAGCGAACGGG